rnacentral:rRNA from 1 species
UACGUUGGGAGCAAGCGUUGUCCGGAAUCAUUGGGCGUAAAGCGCGCGUAGGUGGCCUCAUAAGUCCGCUGUGAAAGUCCAAGGCUCAACCUUGGAAAGCCGGUGGAUACUGUCGGGCUAGAGUCCGGAAGAGGCGAGUGGAAUUCCUGGUGUAGCGGUGGAAUGCGCAGAUAUCAGGAGGAACACCGAUGGCGAAGGCAGCUCGCUGGGACGGUACUGACGCUGAGGCGCGAAAGCGUGGGGAGCGAACAGG